rnacentral:rRNA from 1 species
AGAGUUUGAUCCUGGCUCAGGAUGAACGCUAGCGGGAGGCCUAAUACAUGCAAGUCGAACGGUAACAGGGUAGCAAUACCGCUGACGAGUGGCGCACGGGUGAGUAACACGUACACAAUUUGCCUUAUACUGGUGCAUAGCCUCGGGAAACUGAGAUUAAUUCACCAUAAUACUACGGAAGGGCAUCCUUUUGUAGUUAA